GCAUAAAACCAUAUCACUCUGAAAGCAGCGGUACACUUCCGAUUACCAAAGUUAAGUAAUAUCGAACCUCAAUAAUAUUCAGAUGGGUGAUCGUUUGGAAAACAUUGGUAAACAUUUGGC
rnacentral:rRNA from 1 species